CACUCUUAUGAAAAAUGGUUCUUCAAAGGUUCUGAAAUGAUGGUAAAGGUUCUAUAUAGAACCAUAGCUUACUGAAGAACCCUUUUUUGCUGAAAUGGUUCUUUGUCUUGGCAAAAGGGUUCUUUUUUCCCUCCUUUUUUGAUUUUAAAUUUAGUCAGUUAUUUUCAAGCUGCCUCUUGAUUAUUUUCACCUGUAAAAGCCCUGAAUCAUCAGUCCUGCUGAACUGCCUGCAGACUAACAUCACAAACAGGUAAGAGAGGAAAAUAAUCAUCAUUUACUGUUAAAAACAUUUUGAAAAUUGAAGUUUUGUGUGUUCUUAUUGUAAUUUAUUUAUUUUAUAACAGGUAAGCUUUAUACUGAAAGCUUCAUUCCCUUUAAAGCAGAGUUUUUAUAUUUGAGGUAAUCUUGCUGGGAGUGAAGGCAGUGCGUAUGAUCGCUUGAUAUGAGACACACAUACUGUAUUUAAAGGUCAACUUUAUACGUAAAAUUCAUUCCAUUUAUAACAGAGUUUUCAUAUGUGAGGUAAUCAUCUUGCUGGGAGUGAAGGCAGUGUGUUCUGUCCAAUAGUGACCCAGCCCUGGGUUAAAAGCAACCCAGCAUUUUUUAGAGUGUACGAGAGACACAUUCUAUUUUUAAAGGUGAUGUAUGCAUGUUACUUUCAAUCCUGGCAUUAAAAUAAUAAUAUUUACUGUUUAAACAUUUAGUAAAUUGAGGUUUUGUGUGUUUUUGAUGUACUUUAUUUCUUUUAUAACAGGUCAAC